UAAAGUUGUGUAGGUACAGUUUAUCAUACUAAGGUCUGUGGGGCGAUAUUUGUUAAGCCCAGGCGAUAUAUGUUUAGGCCUUAAAACACAGACAGUUAUCUAUCACUGAGUAUAGUGCUUUUGUUUCCACAUUAUGAAUUUGUCAGCAAAGAUUUGCAGAAA